rnacentral:tRNA from 1 species
GGGUGGUUUACUGGUAUUUAGCUACAAAAAGCCCUCAUCAAGUUACCGUCGUAAGCACCUGAUUUUUAAUCAGGUGGUGGAUUCGAGCCCCACACGGCUCA